CCUACGGGAGGCAGCAGUGAGGAAUAUUGGUCAAUGGGCGAGAGACUGAACCAGCCAAGUCGCGUGAGGGAUGACGGUCCUAUGUAUUGUAAACCUCUUUUGCCGGGGAACAAAAAGCGGUACGUGUACCGCUUCGAGAGUACCAGAAGAAAAAGCAUCGGCUAACUCCGUGCCAGCAGCCGCGGUAAUACGGAGGAUGCGAGCGUUAUCCGGAUUUAUUGGGUUUAAAGGGUGCGCAGGCGGCGUGUUAAGUCAGCGGUAAAAUUUCGGGGCUCAACCCCGAAAAGCCGUUGAAACUGGCAGUCUAGAGUGGGCGAGAGGUAUGCGGAAUGCGUGGUGUAGCGGUGAAAUGCAUAGAUAUCACGCAGAACUCCGAUUGCGAAGGCAGCAUACCGGCGCCCAACUGACGCUGAGGCACGAAAGCGUGGGUAUCGAACAGGAUUAGAUACCCUUGUAGUC
rnacentral:rRNA from 1 species